AAGGACCCUAUACCAAAAGAAAUAAAAUCGAAUGUGGUGUACGAACUGGAAUGUACUGACUGUCAUGAAACCUACGUAGGUCAAACCUCUCAGUGGCUUAGAAAUCGCAUGAACUUACAUAAAAGUGAUAUUAGAACAAAUAACCUGAGAUGUGCAUUAUCUGUUCAUGCUAAUAAGUACUCACACAGUGUUGAUUUUAAUAACGUAAAAAUUUUAGAUGUAAAUGUAAAUUAUAAAAAAAGAUGUAUACUAGAAAUGAUCCACAUACAAACUCAAAAAAGUAAAAUUAACAAGAAAACGGACACGCAGAGAUUAAGUCCAAUAUAUGCAUAUCUCAUAGAAUUUUCUAACAGACCAUUUUUCGAUGGUCCAGUUGAUGGAUGACAUUUAACCUAACUUUGUUUAUUGCGUAUUAUGAUAUUGCGUUUCUUAAUUGAUAAUCAUUUGAUAUUACCCUGUUUGAUGCUUGUGUCUGAUUUUGUACAAUUCUUAGACUUAGAGAUUAACCUCGCAUUCAGUAAGUUGUUGUACUCUGUUUUUUGUUUUAUUGUUGAUGAUGUGUUUUGUUGUAUUUUACAGUUGCCCUGAGGAAGAAGCAAAAUAAGCUUCGAAAGCUAGGCUUUACAUGAAUAAAGAGUAAAUAUAUCUCGUUAAUUGCUGAUCGAUAUCCCUUAUAUAGUAUAUAUUAUCAUUUUCAACGAUCAUUAUCUUGAACAUUAAAUUAAGAUGGGAUUUUAUCGGACGAUGACAUCACGUUAUGGCAUUCGAACAUCAGAUAUCAUGAAGGAAUGGAGUAACAACAACCGAAAGAUAGCGAACCUCUUGAACAGGAGGAUAUUCCUACUCGAAUGUAAAAGACUGGGAUUAACACCUAAUCAUAUAGGAACAGGAGUCAGGAAUGUUCUGAAUUUGGUUGAAUUUCACACAGGAAGUAGAUUCAAUAAAAAGAUUAGUGGAUUUAACAAAAACUUAGUUAAUAGAUUACUUUCCUUAGAGAUUGAACACACUCACUUAAAGAUUUCACACAUUUGCAAGUACAAUAGCACCAUAAAAAGAGAGUUGAGGCAGACAAUACCAACAGAGAUACAUAGAGAAUUUUUCAGACGCCAGAAGACUACAUACAACAAAAUAUUUCAUAGAGUAAAAGCCACAAACCUCAGAAAAAUUAAAGCACUACAAAGAAGAAUACAUAAAGCAGAUUAUAAAGUUCCAGAGAAAUGGUUCAAGAAUUUGUCCCAGACAACAGUACCUGAAGAGGUUAGAACAGUCCUUGGUUUGGGUUCCAAAUUUAACGUCCCUUUAGACCACAAAGAAAUAAACAUCAAAGACCUAAUAGCAGACGUUGAGAGCAUUUUGGACUUGGUGGAGGAAGAUAGAAGAGACACUUUGAGAGCUAAGAUAGCAAGCAUUAUAACUGGUCAUCUACAUAAAGGUGAAAAUAAUAUUUGUGCGACAGACAACAUAAGAAAGCUAUAUAAAACAACGAAAAACUUUUUAAGAACUAAUGAUCACCUUGUAGUUCUCGACAGUGACAAAGGUUCAGUGACUGUACUUAUGGAUAGGGCGGAUUAUCUUCAGAAGAUGUACUCAAUUGUUGACACUGACGAUUUCAAAAAGAUUUCUAGAGACCCAACUACCACUAUCCAGAAUAAAACCAACAAGAUCAUAUCCACACUUGUAAACCAAAAUAUACUAAGUAAAGAAGCUGCAAGAUCAAUGAAAUCAUAUAAUUCAGUGAGCCCUAGAAUGUACGGAAAUCCCAAAAUACAUAAGGAAAAUAUCCCAAUGCGACCAAUCGUAUCUGAUGUACAGGGUCCCACAUGUAAAUUUUCAAAUUAUAUUGCACAAAUCCUAACAGAAGCCUAUGACCAGGAUAAUGCAUAUUAUGUGAAAGAUUCGUUUGACUUUUCCAGUAAGAUUAACAAUUUUGAAUUACCCCCAGAUUAUGUGGUGAUAUCACUUGACGUAGUCAACCUAUUUGGCAACAUAUCAAAGGAGUUGGUACUGAGAGCAAUGGAAUUCCAUUGGAACAAGAUUGAGGCAGUCUGCAACAUAUCAAAAGAAUACUUCAAGGAGAUUAUCACCUUCCUCCUAGAAUCAGGUUACUUCAUGUUCGAUGGCAGUUUCUAUUUGCAGAUGUUUGGGUGCAUUAUGGGAUCCAGACUUAGCCCGAUUUUGUCGUUGUAUGUGAUGGACUAUGUGCUCGACUCCUGUAUACCUAGAUUAACAUUCACACUUGCAUUUAUAAAAAAAUAUGUAGACGACCUAAUAAUAUCCCUACCAUCAACGGGAACUGAGGAGAUAUUGCAAGUUUUCAACAGCUUCGACCCUAAAUUAAAGUUCACGAUUGAAACAGAAGAUUGUUACAACUCUGUUCCGUUCUUAGAUACCAAGGUAUGCCGAGUGGAUAAUAAAGUAAAAUUAAAUUGGUAUAGAAAGACGACUUCUGCAGGAAAGUUUAUACAUUUUUUAUCUGACCAUCCAAUGAGCAUAAAAUUAAAUUUCAUUAAAGAACAAAAAAACAGGAUUUAUAAAAUCUGUGAUCCAACAUUCAGAGAUGGAAGCAUGAAAAGACUGUUUGAUCUUUUAGUUGAGAAUGCCUAUCCUAAAACAAUGUUGAAAAAACUUCUAUAUUCUACUUCAAUGUUGCCUUCGACUGAAAGUCAAACACAACCUGAUAUGGUGGGAGAAACAGAAGUUGUGAAAUAUAGAAGCAUCCCUAACAUCCCUUACCUUACCUACAAAAUUAAAAAUUGUUUUAAAGAUUAUAAUAAAAAAGUGAAAAUAGUAGCACAGUGCAAAAAGAAAGUGGCAAAUUUAUAUUCAAAACUGAAGGACCCUAUACCAAAAGAAAUAAAAUCGAAUGUGGUGUACGAACUGGAAUGUACUGACUGUCAUGAAACCUACGUAGGUCAAACCUCUCAGUGGCUUAGAAAUCGCAUGAACUUACAUAAAAGUGAUAUUAGAACAAAUAACCUGAGAUGUGCAUUAUCUGUUCAUGCUAAUAAGUACUCACACAGUGUUGAUUUUAAUAACGUAAAAAUUUUAGAUGUAAAUGUAAAUUAUAAAAAAAGAUGUAUACUAGAAAUGAUCCACAUACAAACUCAAAAAAGUAAAAUUAACAAGAAAACGGACACGCAGAGAUUAAGUCCAAUAUAUGCAUAUCUCAUAGAAUUUUCUAACAGACCAUUUUUCGAUGGUCCAGUUGAUGGAUGACAUUUAACCUAACUUUGUUUAUUGCGUAUUAUGAUAUUGCGUUUCUUAAUUGAUAAUCAUUUGAUAUUACCCUGUUUGAUGCUUGUGUCUGAUUUUGUACAAUUCUUAGACUUAGAGAUUAACCUCGCAUUCAUUGCCCUGAGGAAGAAGCAAAAUAAGCUUCGAAAGCUAGGCUUUACAUGAAUAAAGAGUAAAUAUAUCUCGUUAAUUGCUGA